rnacentral:rRNA from 1 species
GAUGAACGCUGGCGGCGUGCUUAAUACAUGCAAGUCGAGCGAACAGACGCGGAGCUUGCUCCGCGGACGUUAGCGGCGGACGGGUGAGUAACACGUGGAUAACCUACCUAUAAUACUGGUAUAACCUCGGGAAACCGGAGCUAAUACCGUAUAAUAUCUUGAACCGCAUUGUUCAAUAGUGAAAGUCGGUUGUUCUGUCUCUUCUAGAUGUAUCCGGGCUGCAUUAGCUAGUUGGUAAGGUAACGGCUUACCAAGGCAACGAUGCGUAGCCGACCUCAGAGAGGGAUCGGCCACAAUAGAACUGAGACAGGGUCCAGGCUACUAGGGGAGGCAGCAGAAGGGUAUCUACGGCAAUGGGCGGGAGCCUGGCGGAGCGGCGCGACGUGAGUGGCAGCAUCGUUCGGAUCGUGAUACUCGGUUAUUAGUGAUAAACCACUGUGUAAUUAGAUCUGCACGGCUUGACGGUAACUAAUCAGAAAGCCACGGCUAACUACGUG